ensembl:lncRNA
AANNNNNNNNNNNNNNNNNNNNNNNNNUAAAAGGCAAUUAACAAUAGAAGAGACAAACCAUCAUAACAUAAAAGUGUAGGUUUUUCCUUCAGAGAAAUUGUGAAGAAAGGCAAUGUAUCAGGGAUUACAGUCUCUUUUACUAUCAAAAGGCACUGAGGGAAUCUGACAGGAAGAGGUCUGCAGAACCCAAAGCCACAACAAAAUCAGAAGGCAAGAUAGACUCAACAGCUAGAGUGAUAGGUGGCUCACGGGACCACAGCUUAAUAGUAAGCAAGUCUCAGUUUCAACUGCAAAAAGCAGACUUUGAGAUACAGGACUGACAGAUCAAGUUGCAGCAAGGCAGCCAUAGCUUUGACGUGAGAAUAAGAAAAAAAAAAAGAAAAAAAGCCUUCCCUGGGCCAUGAAACACCACCAAUGGACCACUGAAGACUUUCAAAAUUUGAAAUCUUCCGUUCAUCAUUCAGGAUUUUUGUAUGCCAUUGAGAAGGCGAAAAGGAGGUUCCUCAGUCUGUGACAUCAAAUGUCAAACAUGGCAGAGGAAGUGUGAUGUUCUGGGGCUGUUUUGUUGGAUCCAGGGUGAAUGACUAGUACAGAUUGAGACUAGUACAGAACCAACAGCUACAACGAGAUUCUGCAUCAACAUGCAGAAUCUUGGUAUGUACCAAGUCAGGGGUUCAUCCAACAGCAAGAUAAUGACUCAAAACAUACGUCCAAGGUAUGGCAGACUUACCUUAGGAAAAAAACAGAACAAGAUGGUAAGCUUGAAAAAGAAAAAAAAGAAGAAAAAAAAUAGGGUUGCUGGUAGGGAUGGGUAUCGAAAACAGGUUCUUGUUGAGAACCGGUUCCCACUGUUUCAAUUCCUUGGAAUUGUUUGCCAUUUUUGCAAACGAUUCCCUUAUCGAUUCCAGUCGCCCCGAAUGACGUCACCACGUUGCGGAGCGUCAUUUACCUGGCAGGAAACACGGCGCGUAAGCGGCUCAAACGCUCAAAAGUUUGGUUACACUUUACUGGAACGGAUGACAACAGGGCAACUGGCAAUACUUGCAAAGUAGAUACUUCAUUUAAGGGAAGAAACACUACGAAUAUGCAAAAGCAUUUGCUCAGAAAACACGUGAUAACCUUAAAUGAAUGUCGUGUUUUUAAUUCCGCUCCGGACUCGUGAAUCUUAACCCAGCAGCAGCGGUAACGUUUGCACGUCCUCUCCCGUUAAUGCGGCAGGUAAAUAAUCAACUAACAGUGCAUAUUAUGUUAGCGCGAUCUGCCUUAUUACAAAACCUGCCAUUACUGUGCAUUUAGGUGACCAUGAUGAGAGAGACAGACAGAGUCUGGCUGGCUCAGAUGCUGGCAGUUCUCGCUGCAGUCUACCGGUAGCGUCUCCUUUC